UAAUUAUGUCGUUAUCACGGGAUAACGGUUUGUUUUCUCGAGAUCUCUAAUUAAUUAUGCCCUUAUCUCGGGAUAACAAGAUAAAAGCUGCACAGU